GACCAGAGAUCCCGCUUGAUGGCGUCCGAAGCGUGUGUGUGUGUGUGAAUACUUCAGCGUGGUCUUUAAACCAUUAGCAAACCUCUUUCUAGCACGUGUAUUGACAGAGAGCCUAACCUGUCAGCUGUGUUGGAUUAACAGAGAGAGAUUAA